rnacentral:rRNA from 1 species
GUGGGGAAUUUUGGACAAUGGGGGCAACCCUGAUCCAGCGACGCCGCGUGGAGGACGAAGGUCUUCGGAUUGUAAACUCCUUUUAGAGGGGAGGAAAGAGCCGCUGAAGAGGCGGACGUGACCGUACCCUCUGAAUCAGCCACGGCUAACUACGUGCCAGCAGCCGCGGUAAUACGUAGGUGGCAAGCGUUACUCGGAAUCACUAGGCGUAAAGCGCAGGUAGGCGGUUGGGUAAGUCUGUUGUGAAAGCUCCCGGCUCAACUGGGAGAGGUCAACGGAAACUACCCGGCUAGAGUGUGGUAGAGGAAGCUGGAAUUCCCGGUGUAGCGGUGAAAUGCGUAGAGAUCGGGAGGAAUACCUAUGGCGAAAGCAGGCUUCUGGGCCAUCACUGACGCUGAUCUGCGAAAGCUAGGGGAGCAAACAGGAUUAGAUACCCCUGUAGUCC